UACGUAGGUGGCAAGCGUUUGUCCGGAAUUAUUGGGCGUAAAGGGCGUGUAGGUGGGCCAUUAAGUCUUGUGUCUAAGUGCGGUGCUUAACGCCGUAUAGGCGCAGGAAACUGAAGGUCUUGAGUGCAGGAGAGGAAAGUGGAAUUCCCGGAGUAGCGGUGAAAUGCGUAGAUAUCGGGAGGAACACCAGUGGCGAAGGCGACUUUCUGGACUGUGUCUGACACUGAGGGCGCGAAAGCUA
rnacentral:rRNA from 1 species